AUGGGAAAUAUCAAGAAGGGAAAGAAAGAAAGCUCAGCCAUCAAAGUAUUGUGAUUUUGAAGGAACAAGCAUGAGAAAUUUGGAUAAGAAAAAGGAAAAAAAAUUAAUUUCCACAUUUUUAUUCUUUCUUCCAAGUUAUUUUCUGCAAAUAAAAUAUACGUUCAUUUUCUGGAUAUGGAGGCAAUAGUUUUCCAAUCAAAAUAGCAAGGAAACUACUAUACAUGGGCAUGCAUUCAUCUCCAAAUUCAAGAUUUUGGUUUUUCCUUUCAGUGUUACAGUUGUAGCUCUCAUUAUUCAUUCUUGAGGACAAGAAU
rnacentral:misc_RNA from 1 species